rnacentral:rRNA from 1 species
AGUGAACGCUGGCGGUAGGCCUAACACAUGCAAGUCGAACGGCAGCACAGUAAGAGCUUGCUCUUACGGGUGGCGAGUGGCGGACGGGUGAGGAAUACAUCGGAAUCUACUUUUUCGUGGGGGAUAACGUAGGGAAACUUACGCUAAUACCGCAUACGACCUACGGGUGAAAGCAGGGGAUCUUCGGACCUUGCGCGAUUGAAUGAGCCGAUGUCGGAUUAGCUAGUUGGCGGGGUAAAGGCCCACCAAGGCGACGAUCCGUAGCUGGUCUGAGAGGAUGAUCAGCCACACUGGAACUGAGACACGGUCCAGACUCCUACGGGAGGCAGCAGUGGGGAAUAUUGGGCAAUGGGCGAAAGCCUGAUCCAGCAAUACCGCGUGGGUGAAGAAGGUCUUCGGGUUGUAAAACCCUUUUAUUGGGAAAGAACAAAAGUGGGUUAAACCCCGCCUGUCUUGACGGUACCCAAACAAAAAGCCACGGCUAACUUCGUG